rnacentral:rRNA from 1 species
GUCCACGCCGUAACGAUGAGUGCUAGGUGCUGCGGGUAUUGACCCUGCGGUGCCGUAGCUAACGCGUUAAGCACUCCGCCUGGGGAGUACGGCCGCAAGGCUAAACUCAAAGGAAUUGACGGGGCCCGCACAAGCGGUGGAGCAUGUGGUUCAAUUCGACGCAACGCGCAGAACCUUACCUGGGUUAAAUCCACUCGAAUCUGGCAGAGAUGCCGGGGUGCCUUUCGGGGAACGAGUGAGAAGGUGCUGCAUGGCUGUCGU